UUAUGAGUUGUUUUAUCUGUCUCUUGGUAUAAUUGGGUAUAUGAGAAUUAACUGUUAGAAAUAUGUUUCUUAAAUACACUUAAAACGUUAGAAUUUGAGAGACAGUGAUAAAUGUGUAAAACCUUGCCUUCACAGCCACAGCUCCAUGGAAGGAGCAGAGCCAUGUUUGAUUCUUGGCAUCAUCUGAGUGGACUGGAAGAAUUCUGAAGACUUUUUAUUCUUCUCUUUCCCCAUCUGUCCUGGUAUCCUCGUCUUCCUUUUCCUGUCUCUCUCUGUCUGUGUCUAUCACUGUCUCUGUCUCUUCUCCAGGUUAACAUCUGGAGUAUGUCCAGGCUUAUAUGCUGUCUGCACACAAUAUUUAAUGGUUGGCUCAAGUUUUCCUUCACCUAAGGCUGCAAGGAAAUUAACAUUUGCAAGAUUGUGGGUUUUGAGCCAAAUUACACACAUUAGGAAAUUUCACUGUGGUACUUUGCAGACUCUUUCAAACCGGACACUAAGGUAUUUCUGUACUUUGAAAAUGUCUUGAAUGAUUUUAUUGGUUUCUUUCCUCAUUUUCUCAGUUUUUAAUUUCUGGAACAUCUAUUAUUUGGAUAUUGAAUCUACUGAAGUUUUUCUACUGUAUUUUACUUUACCCUCCUAUUUUUCCAUUUUCUUAUCAUUUUAGCAUACUUUCUAGAAAAUUGCAUUCUUCCAAAACUAUUCACUGAGUUUUUCAUGUCUACUCCUCUUUUUUUAAACUCUGAAAUCUAUGACCUUUUGUUUUCUGAGUCUUUUCUUCUUUUUUCUUUUUUGCUAAGAACUCCAGCAUUUCCAAAGUAUAAGGAAUAAAUUUGAAAUUUUUUUUCUAUUGAAGUAUAAG
rnacentral:lncRNA from 1 species